CAGUCGCCGCGGGAAUACGUAGGGUGCAAGCGUUAAUCGGAAUUACUGGGCGUAAAGCGUGCGCAGGCGGUUUGUUAAGGCAGAUGUGAAAUCCCCGGGCUCAACCUGGGAACUGCAUUUGUGACUGGCAGGCUAGAGUAUGGCAGAGGGGGGUGGAAUUCCGCGUGUAGCAGUGAAAUGCGUAGAUAUGCGGAGGAACACCGAUGGCGAAGGCAGCCCCCUGGGCCAAUACUGACGCUCAUGCACGAAAGCGUGGGGAGCAAACAGGAUUAGAUACCCCGGUAGUCCCUGUCUCUUAUAC
rnacentral:rRNA from 1 species